UACAGAGGGGGCAAGCGUUGUUCGGAAUUACUGGGCGUAAAGGGCGCGUAGGCGGCCCGCUAAGUCGAACGUGAAAUCCCCGGGCUCAACCCGGGAACUGCGUCCGAUACUGGCAGGCUUGAAUCCGGGAGAGGGAUGCGGAAUUCCAGGUGUAGCGGUGAAAUGCGUAGAUAUCUGGAGGAACACCGGUGGCGAAGGCGGCAUCCUGGACCGACACUGACACUGAGGAGCGAAAGCCAGGGGAGCAAACGGG
rnacentral:rRNA from 1 species